GUGGGGAAUUUUGGACAAUGGGGGCAACCCUGAUCCAGCCAUUCCGCGUGAGUGAAGAAGGCCUUCGGGUUGUAAAGCUCUUUCGGCAGGAACGAAACGGUGAGCUCUAACAUAGCUCGCUAAUGACGGUACCUGAAGAAGAAGCACCGGCUAACUACGUGCCAGCAGCCGCGGUAAUACGUAGGGUGCGAGCGUUAAUCGGAAUUACUGGGCGUAAAGCGUGCGCAGGCGGUUGUGUAAGACAGGUGUGAAAUCCCCGGGCUUAACCUGGGAACUGCGCUUGUGACUGCACGGCUAGAGUAUGGCAGAGGGGGGUGGAAUUCCACGUGUAGCAGUGAAAUGCGUAGAGAUGUGGAGGAACACCGAUGGCGAAGGCAGCCCCCUGGGCCAAUACUGACGCUCAUGCACGAAAGCGUGGGGAGCAAACAGGAUUAGAUACCCUGGUAGUCC
rnacentral:rRNA from 1 species